rfam:Triticum aestivum genome assembly, contig: Triticum_aestivum_CS42_TGACv1_scaffold_145894_2BS
CAUACGCUUCCUCCGUCCGAAAAUAUUUGUUAUCAAAAUGGAUAAAAAAUGAUGUAUCUAGAACUAAUAUACAUCUAGAUACAUCCCAUUUUAUUUAUUUUGAUCAAGUAUUUUCGAACGAAAAGAGUACGUA